UGGACCACUGCAGGCCAUGCUCGUUCUCAGAUGACAGGCAGGAGCUCGGGGAUGACUCCUCGUCAGCCAUCGUCCUCCUGGAGGAGUCUCCAGUUGCCGGAAGUGAGAGGUUCAGCUUCAGGUCAAGGCCCCUAGAGCUCUUCCUGUUGCUGCGACUCAUCCUGGAUGGGUGAUGAAGCGCUGGAUGUGAGCAGAUGUAGAUGAGAGCGAUGUGUGAUGCUCUUAGAGGAGAGGACUCUGAGCUUUAGAAUGCUCAGAGGUGUUGGUGGUGCUGUUGGAGAAGAGAUGGAUGGUAUUUAUAGUGGGAGAAGGAUGGGAGGUCAAUUGGUUUUCUUUAAUGUGACAGUAAGAGGUGGAAGGCACGGAGUUGAAUGCAACUUCAGCCCAACUACGGAGGCAAGGGGGGUUGACCUGAAUGUGGGCUCAUAACUGUGGCACUAGGUUACUUAGUACAGGAUAUAAUUUAAAAUGAUUUUGCAUGUAUAAAUUGUGAUUAGUCGGUGUUUUGGGUCAAUCCCAUGUGCCCUUCUUUAAAUUCAUAGAGCAGUCUAAUGCGUUGAUUAAAGCUUACCAGAGGAAAAAAGAAAAGUCCCAUGCGUCAGUCAUGCUAUUGGGGUUUCACCUGUUGCAACUGGUAGCACUGUUUUUUGUUGAUUGAGAAAUUAGCAGAGCGGGAUGGAUCAAAUUCUGAGUAAACGUAUUCGGACGAAGUAUGAUUUCUCCA